GAACAAAGUCGAGCGUUCUGUCAGGAAAAACAAUCAGAUUUGGUUGUUAUUGAUGAUCUGGAGGAGCAGAAAUUUGUCAGCAAUCACACCAAAUACUACCAUGACGAAGACCACGGAUACUUGAUAGGAUUACGAGAAGUUAACAACACCUGGAUCUGGGUGGAUGGACAUGUAGACACUCUUGGGUUCUGGAACAAGAAGACGUUCAGUUUGUCACGUCCAUUUGCACUUCUGAUCCCAAACAGAAAUCUGACAGAGAGCUGGGACAAAGCAGAUGGGAAGUUUGAGAACAAAUUCAUCUGUGAGCAUGAAGCUGUUAUUUGGUCCAUUUAACUCUUUUCUUUUAAACUCCAGAA